UCAACCAACUUUGAUCAACAUGUAUGGUUUUGGAUAAGCACCCUCCCAGCCAGCUGCUCUUGAUUCGCUGCCAUCGUCUGUCAGACGUUAUACAGUGAUGCCGUUUCAUCUUCACUUCCUUUUCCGUUUCAGUAGAGGCCUCAGUUGGAUCUCCAUCGCUCACAGGACCCAGGUUGAUAUUACUGUUAGCGACUUACACCUCUGAAACUCUAGGAUACAUACUUCGGAAAACUAAUCUAUAAAAGGCGUUUGAGUAACGUAUUCAUUUUGAGCAAGUUAAAAUGAUCUGUUUUCUUUUUUUCUGUUGCCUAGCAGGUGUGUGUCUGGGUCUUGAUGUCCAGCAGUCUCCCUCUGAUCUCAUCACCAAAUCUGGAGACAAAGUGGAGAUAUUCUGCAGCCAUGAUAAAACUGACUACAGGGUGAUGCUCUGGUACCAGCGCUCACCUGGAGACACGGCUAUAAAACUCAUUGGAUAUUUGAACUUUCAAGCUGUCACAAAGGAAGAGCCGUAUGAAGAGCAUUUCAAUAUCAUUGGAGAUUUGGGGGGAAAUACAGCAAAGAACGCCUCUCUUGAAAUCAAACUUGUAGAACAAGAGCACAGUGCAGUGUAUUACUGUGCAGCCAGCUUAGCACAGUGUGUGUCUGGGUCUUGAUGUCCGUCAGUCUCCCUCUGAUCUCAUCACCAAAUCUGGAGACAAAGUGGAGAUAUUCUGCAGCCAUGAUAAAACUGACUACA